UACGUAGGUGACAAGCGUUGUCCGGAUUUACUGGGCGUAAAGAGCGCGCAGGCGGUCGUUCAAGUCGAGUGUGAAAGCCCCCGGCUCAACUGGGGAGGGUCAUUCGAUACUGAUCGACUCGAAGGCAGGAGAGGGUAGUGGAAUUCCCGGUGUAGCGGUGAAAUGCGCAGAUAUCGGGAGGAACACCAGUAGCGAAGGCGGAUCUCUGGGCCUGUCCUGACGCUGAGGCGCGAAAGCUAGGGGAGCGAACAGG
rnacentral:rRNA from 1 species